UCGAGGGCUCGAAUACAAGAGCUCGAUCAUAGACGAGUCAGCGGAAGCAACAAUAUCUGAGUACAGACAUAAGGUUAACAAGUUUGCCUUAAGAAGGCUAGCACAAACUGGGAUACAGAUCGAAAGAGGCGCAGGCCUCCUGCCUGGGAUCCUCCUAAACUACUCCUGGUCGUCGUCAGCGGGCAGCACGUAGUAGUAGGCACCUCCGGUGUAGUAGGAGUCGUCAUCAACGGUGGCGUCUCGCUCCUGGACUCCAGCAUCUGGUUGCGAGAACCAGAAAGAAAGGAAAGGGGAAAAGGGGGGAAGAAAGCAACCGUGAGUACUCAUCCAAAGUACUCGCAAGCAAGGAGCUACACUACAUAUGCAUGGGUAUAUGUGUAAAGGGCCAUAUCAUUGGACUGAACUGCAGAAUGCCAGAAUAAGAGGGGGAUAACUAAUCCUAUCAAAGACUACGCUUCUGGCAGCCUCAGUCUUGCAGCAUGUAGAAGAGAGUAGAAUGAAGUCCUCCAAGUAGCAUCGCAUAGCAUAAACCUACCCGACAAUCCUCUCCUCAUUGCCCUGUUAGAGAGCGAUUACCGGGUUAUAUCUGGCACUUGGAAGGGUGUGUUUUAUUAAGUAUCCGGUUCUAGUUGUCAUAAGGUCAAGGUACAACUCCAAGUCAUCCUGUUACCGAAGAUCACGGCUAUUCGAAUAGAUUAACUUCCCUGCAGGGGUGCACCACAUAACCCAACACGCUCGAUCCCAUUUGGCCGGACACACUUUCCUGGGUCAUGCCCGGCCUCGUAAGAUCAACACGUCGCAGCCCUACCUAGGCACAACAGAGAGGUCAACACGCCGGUCUAAAUCCUAUGGCGCAGGGGUUUGGGCCCAUCGCCCUUUGCACACCUGCACGUUGCAAACACGGCCGGAAGCAGAACUAGCCCCCUUAAUACAAGAGCAGGCUUACGGUCCAAUCCGGCGCGCGCCACUCAGUCGCUGACAUCACGAAGGCUUCGGCUGAUACCACGACGUCGAGUGCCCAUAACUGUCCCCGCGUAGAUGGUUAGUGCGUAUAGGCCAGUAGCCAGACACAGAUCAAAUACCAAGAUCUCGUUAAACGUGUUAAGUAUCCGCGAACACCGACCAGGGCCAGGCCCACCUCUGCCCUAGGUGGUCACAACCUGGCCUGUCGCUUCGCCACAAAGAUCCACACAGAGGGCCGUUGGGACAAAGGUCCUUUCAGCCCCCCAAUCCGUGAAUCACUCGCGGGUGCUCCACAAGCCGACCCGACUUUAGUCACCACAUGUAUCAUGUAUAAAGUAUAUAGUAUAUACCCGUGAUCACCUCCCGAUUGAUCACGACCCGAUAAUAUAGCAUGGAAGACGGACAAGAAUGUAUGGCCACUGAUGAUAAUCUAGCAUCCUAUACUAAGCAUUAGGAUUGCAGGUAAAGGUAACAACAGUAGUAGCAAGGAUAGGCUAUGCAUCAGAAUAGGAUUAACGGAAAGCAGUAACAUGCUGCACUACUCUAAUGCAAGCAGUAGAGAAAAGAGUAGGCGAUAUCUGGUGAUCAAAGGGGGGGCUUGCCUGAUUGCUCUGGCAAGAGAGAGGGGUCGUCAACACCGUAGUCGAACUGGGGGUCGCCGGUAGUCUCAGGGUCUAUCGGAAAGAAGUAAUGGAGGGGGAACACAAUAAAUAACAGAGCAAUCAAAGCAUCACAAAGCGUAACAUGGCAAUACGUGGUGCUAGGUGUGCCCUAACGCGGCAGUAGGUGGUACCGGCGAAAGCGGGAAAACAUCCGAGAAAAUAUCUCCGGUGUUUCGCGUUUUCGGGCAAAGGGGCCGGAGGGGGAAAGUUACGAGUUUGAUAUGUUAGGAGUGUGUGGCGGACGAACGGGCCGCGUAUCCGGGUUCGUCCCGUCGUUCUGAGCAACUUUCAUGUACAAAGUUUUUCCAUCCGAGCUACGGUUUAUUUUAUAUUAAUUUUAAAAGAUUUAGAUUAAUUUUAGCAUUUAUUUAAUUAACUUAGUACAACAUUAUCCAAACAGUGCAUGCUGACGUCAGCAUGACGUCAGCAGUCAACAGAGGUGUUGACUGGGUCGCUGACGUGUGGGUCCCACUGGUCAUUGACAGACUAACUAACUAUCAGAUUAACUACAUUAAUUAGUUAAUUAGAUUAACUAACAGAGGUUAAUUAGGUUAAUUAUUUGUCCUAAUUAGUUAUUUAAUCGAUUAAUUAUUAUUAUUAUUUUAAAUUCUUUUUUUAUAUCCCUUUUUUUAAUGUUCCAGGGUGGUGGGGCCCGUGUGUAAGUGGCCCAGGGGGUUUUGCGAGCGCUGGGCAAAACAGGCAGCGGGCGCCUGGGCAUGGCCGAACCCGACAGAGCGCUGCGGGGCGUCGGGGGUCACGGCGCUGUCCAGGCGGCCAUCGCGGCGAGAGGCGGCGUAGGGACGCGGGGCGGCGGUGGUCGGCGGGCAGCUGCAUCGGGGUGAAGCGGCAGGGUGGAGCCGACGGUGAGAGGGGGCCAGCAGCGGGCGCGUCCGAACAAGGUGGGGCGCGGGCGCGGGCGCAGGCAGGGGGCACGGGCACGGCUAUGCCGGCCGGCGCGCGUGCGGGCGUCGGUGAGCGAGGCCAUGGCCGAAGUGGCCGGAGCAGGAGAGAAGGAGGAGAUGCCGGGGCCUCACCACGGGGCCGUGGGAUCUAGGCAGCGGUGCUCUGGGAGGUUGUUGGGGACGGCCGGCGCAGGGGAGGAGGCGACGACGUAGAGGACGCUGGGGAGGUAGUCUGGGCGGCGACGACGUUGAGCUGGCUCCAGGGACGGCGAGCGGCGGGCGGUGUCGAGGGCGCCGGUGACUUCAGGGCGGCCCCAGGCGGGCGUCGCACGAGGGAGAGGAGAGGCGAGGAGUCCGAGGGGGCGGCGCCGGUGCCGGCUCGUGGCAGCCUUAGCAGAGGCGCGGCUUGUGUCGGGUGUAGGCGUACGGGAGGGGAUCGAACAGGGCGCCCAUCCCCUGUCCGUUCGCCAGGGCGUGCGUGUGUUGUGGGUGACGGCGCGGGUGAGGUGAGNNNNNNNNNNNNNNNNNNNNNNNNNNNNNNNNNNNNNNNNNNNNNNNNNNNNNNNNNNNNNNNNNNNNNNNNNNNNNNNNNNNNNNNNNNNNNNNNNNNNNNNNNNNNNNNNNNNNNNNNNNNNNNNNNNNNNNNNNNNNNNNNNNNNNNNNNNNNNNNNNNNNNNNNNNNNNNNNNNNNNNNNNNNNNNNNNNNNNNNNNNNNNNNNNNNNNNNNNNNNNNNNNNNNNNNNNNNNNNNNNNNNNNNNNNNNNNNNNNNNNNNNNNNNNNNNNNNNNNNNNNNNNNNNNNNNNNNNNNNNNNNNNNNNNNNNNNCUUUUAACUUUGGUUUUUAAAUAUUUUAAUAUCAAAAUAGUUUUAUCAAGCUAUAAAACUCAUACCUAAAUUAGUAAGGUAGCAUAACUCACUGUAAUAAAAUGUUCACACAUUAUCUUAACUAGCUUACAAUUACCUAUAUACAUAAAAGCAAUUACUAAGUAUUUUCAAAUAUUGUUUUAAUUAUUUUAGUGCACAUAAAUAUUUUAUAAAAGUUUGGUUUCAUCACCUACCACUACAUAUGGAUUAAUCGACGCACUCCGAGCAUUUUAGUUUUAAUGUUUGAAAACUUCAUCAUUUGGGUUUGAUUUCGAAUUUGAAUUCGAUCAGGUUUGAAUUAACCCGAGAUUAACAACAGUGACCUCGGUGACGCGGCAUCAUUAGUAGAGGUUACUGUAGCAUGAUUACCCGGGCGUCACAAUUCUCCUCCACUACAAGAAAUCUCGUCCCGAGAUUAAAGAGGUAGUGAAAGGGAGGAAAGGUUUGGUUACGAAUCUAGCGGGUCUUGUCAUCCUGGCUUGCUCUUCUCGAAGAGGCCGGUCCAAUACAUUGAUGUCUUCAUUUCUCUGCUUCAGGUCACCAUGACGAAGUCGGCGUCCUUUCUUCAGGAACUCCAUCGUACUUAUGAAAGAAUAAAGGGUGGGCAUUCCGAGAGAACAGACCUCUGCAAGGUCGACUAUCUGGUCGAUAACAUCGAGGAAGGUGGCGGAACCGCAGAAGUAACUCUCGAAUUGAAACUUACGAAAAUAUCGAGAACAUAGUAAGGAGGUAUCAUGUGAAGUUUCAAGCGGCCAGACAAACGUUCGAUGCCUGAAACGGGGCGUGAACGGGGUUCAAAGCAACGGGAAUAAGUAUCGUGUCUGAUACAAGAAUUGAUGAGCUCUCCAAAGGUGGCUCGUGAUCUUUCAUACAAAGCCAAGCGUGAGGAAUGACUUUAGAAACAGGGGUGUACGGAAGAGUGAGGUUUCGAUCCUGUGGAACUGUGGGUUAUGGGCCCACCAUGUGGGAUAAAAGUAGGAGUGGUGACAUCUUGCAUGGUCACGAUAGAAGGCAUGUCAGAGACUAGCCUGUCAGUUAUGUCGGCAACAACAUCGAUACCAAGGGCGAGGGACGAAGAGAACCAUUUUCCUGCUCGUUGAACGAGGCGGAUCAAUAGGCAAAGUUCUCGUCCGUCGGUAGUUACCGGGAUGCUAUCAAUAAUGGUAACAGGGCCUUACUAACAGAGUUGUACAACGAGGUGCUUACUAAGCAAGGAAUUAUCACUGCUCGGUUAAGUCAGAUUACAAGAAAGAUUAAACAAGACAAUGGAAAGGAAAAUGCGAUUAUUAGGUUUAACCCGAACAAUGGAAAUGAAAAUGUGUAUACACACAUAUUUCGGGGGUAUAUCUUUCCCAAGGACAAGCGGAGCAUGAUAUCCAUGACAGGAUAGAAAGUAGAAAACCAUUAAGGUAAGGGGAAGGGAUUUCAUGAUAUUACCCAUACAACGGUGUUUGGAUAAUUGAGCAAGAAAACAUUUACCAUUGGGCUUCAAAUGUUCUUGUCGAAAAUUAGAGUACCACAGACAUGCUUCAAGAUAGCACUGCAUGGUCUUCAAGCAAAGGUCGGACUUGGAUACACAAUGGAUUCAUCAGGAACAACUUAUAGAAUAAGUCUGUCAAUUUCCUCAUGGAAGAAUGGAUAACCUUGCUACAAAGAAAACUAUAACAAUAGGUCCUCCGGCCAGGUGUGCUAGGCAUGACAUCACCUUACCGGUUCAUAUAAAGACCAACAUUAUAACUCUUGGAAAUAUGUUCCAACCAUCAUAUCUGACCGAGAUUCAGAUUUGAUUGGUGUCAGGAUACCUCAGACUCAGGAUGCCUGAGAAGAAAAGGUGCAACAUAAUUUGUCGAGAUGACAUUGUGAGAUUCUCAGAAAUGAUCUAUGGAAGUGAGCUCUGAAACAAGAGUUCAUCAGUAAACCAAGGUGAGGAUGAGGAGGUGGCUGAUAGGCUCAGCAACAAAUCAUCGAGAUUUCCAAAGGAUGGAUUUCCACAAUUAUGUGAACAAGGAAAUAUCAUUUGUCGGAUCAAAUGAUAUAAUGAUGUAUGCUCGAUGGAAACAUACACAACUGAACAAUGAUAGAAGGGUGCACCCAGGAAUCUGGACUAGGUAGCACGAUCAAUGUUCGAAUGAUGAUUCAAUAAGCAAUAGACUUAGAAUGAAACUGUAGACCAAUAACUUCAAAGCAAUAGGGUUGCUAGAAGUUUAGAAUUUACACAUCACAGACCAUUUGUCGGUAUUCCGGUUAGAAACAACACGGAGACCAAGAAAUGAAUGAAAAAGGCGAGAGAUAUUACUAUAUCAAGAAUUCUCAAGAGGUAGUAAAAUUACCACGACAUUCCAAGGUAAAGAAGAACAAAUGCUGGAUAGCAAGGAUCUCAAGGUAUAACACAAAACACGAACAAUUUGGUGUUGAAUGGAAGGCAAUAAAAUGAUCGAUGAUAAAACAAAUCGUCGAGGGCAAGGAUGGUAUUUCUCAUCAUGAAUUCAAUUGAUAUCCAGGAAGGAGUCAAGAUGUUGAUGACGAUCACGACAAAGAUAUAGCCAAACAUGCUAGGAAUGGCGUGACCGGGUACAAACUCGUACUUAAAGAAGAUUACUGAAGAGUUGUUGAACCGUAGUGCGAACUCGGUUCAGUUAUCGGUGUCUUUGAGUGUUUAAUGACUCAGAGCCUGUGAAAAAUUGGAAUCAGUGGGAAUGUAGCACUUGAUGAAGAACUCAUAAGAAGCUAUGCAGUUCCAUGAUAAUCUCGAGAUACUAGGGGAUAAUACUCGAUGACAGAUCGAAGUAAAGGUUGGACUGGGGUAUUGAUCCGUAGAAGACAAAUAUUUAAACUUGCCCGAGGAAUGGAAUCAAAGAAGAACAAUAUGGUCGGAACCAUAGCUGGAAGGGAUCCAAUUUAAUGACACCGGAAGUAUUACCCAAAUGAUUAAAUAUUUUGCAAGAAGCUUCCAUGAUAAGUUCCACAUCGGGUCCAUGGGCAUGAACACAACGUUCAAGGUCGACUCCCACUUCUUUAAUGCAUAACCUUUCAUUCACUUCUCUACUAAAAAUGAUUUAGUGCGAAGAUCUACCUGGUGAAUUACCAGAGGAGUAUGAACCUUGGAAAACUUUCGGGUUCACACAUAUUAAGGAAGGCAUAGGUUCAUCCUAUCGGGGCUUCUUAGAUACAUAUACCACAAACUUUAGGGGUAAACAACUCAAGCUCGGAAGCAGAGCAUGUUUGACCAAAGGAAAGGAUACAAAUUGCCAAAGGCAUUAUGUAUCAGGGAGGAUUCACAAAACAGUAAAAUAUGAAGGACACUGUCAAAUAAUAAUCCAACAAAGGAUCUAACGGUCCAUAUCAGAGCUGAUGUGAGCAUCAGCUCACAACCAGAGGAAGAAUCAAUGCAAAGACAUUGGUUUAUAGAAACAACUGAGUAGCUUAGAGCUCAAUUGCAAAGGAAUUAAGAUUUACAAAGCGAAGGAUCAGAAGCAGACGCUCUGAUCAAGGAUGGAUAAGUUCAAUAUACUUAGGGGCACAAUCGAUGACAAUUUGAUUGGCGAGAACCAGCUCACCUUUAAAAUGACGUCUGAGCCAAAAGGAUGAAUCCUAGGAUCUGACUGAGGAUUGCGAGCAUUCGCAACAUAUUGAAUCAACAGACUCGAAAGGAUAAUGAUAAGGGAUGCCAAUAAGAUUACGAGACUUAUGGGAUUAACCGUAAUGCAAGAUAGAAAGAAUUUCAAGAGCAGUAGGUUGCUUAGGAUUUUCGGAAGAUCAAAUGGUAUUUCGAAGACUGUUGUGAAAUGCAUGAAUCAACUAGGAAUGGACGGAUACUCGACAAGUGCGAGGAUUUAUCCAUAGGGGUAUUCACGUGACAAAGAACUGUAAGUCGGUAGGCACCAAGUUUUCUCAGAACAAUAGAGAGUAUUUCAGGGUAUCUGGUAAUAAGAUCUUCAGGGGAUGAUUGUAAGAAUUGAAAAAUGUACGUGGUCAUCCAUAGGGGUCUAUCGAGGGAAGGGGAUUGCAAAAGCGACGCCAUAAAGUCUCAUGAGAACAUCGGAGAGUAUGUUCGGAUUCUUCUGGUGCAGCAGACGAUCAUCUUUAAUAAGGGGCUCUCCGAGAGAAAGUAUUAUCGAGAACCUAGAGUCAGAGUUAGUAAAAUCGUUUAACCCGAGUAGAAGAGAUGUCAGAGUCCCAGAGUAUAGGUCGAGGAAUAAAAGAUCCUACUACCACCCAAUGGCGACGUGGGCCUGUAAGGCACACAGCCAUGUUAGUAAAAAAAUUGUAAUGUCUAGACUCGACUUCGGACAAGGAGUGUGGAAGGGGGAUUCCUACAGGCAGUCGGCUCUAAUACCAACUUGUGACGCCCCCGGUUUGACCGUACACUAAUCAUGCACGCAAAUGUGUACGAUCAAGAUAAAGGACUAACGGGAAGAUAUCACAACACAACUCUACAAAUAAAAUAAGCCAUACAAGCAUCAUAUUACAAGCCAGGGGCCUCGAGGGCUCGAAUACAAGAGCUCGAUCAUAGACGAGUCAGCAGAAGCAACAAUAUCUGAGUACAUACAUAAGUUAAACAAGUUUGCCUUAAGAAGGCUAGCACAAACUGGGAUACAGAUCAAAAGAGGCACAUGCCUCCUGCCUGGGAUCCUCCUAAACUACUCCUGGUCGUCGUCAGUGGGCAGCACGUAGUAGUAGGCACCUCCGGUGUAGUAGGAGUCGUCGUCAACGGUGGCGUCUGGCUCCU
rnacentral:lncRNA from 1 species